UGAGUUUGAUCCUGGCUCAGGACGAACGCUGGCGGCGUGCCUAAUACAUGCAAGUCGAGCGCAGGAAGCUGACUGAAGCCUUCGGGUGGACGUCAGUGGAAUGAGCGGCGGACGGGUGAGUAACACGUGGGCAACCUGCCUGUAAGACUGGGAUAACUCCGGGAAACCGGGGCUAAUACCGGAUAAUAGCCUUGACCGCAUGGUCAAGGGUUGAAAGAUGGCGCUUGCGCUAUCACUUACAGAUGGGCCCGCGGCGCAUUAGCUAGUUGGUGAGGUAACGGCUCACCAAGGCAACGAUGCGUAGCCGACCUGAGAGGGUGAUCGGCCACACUGGGACUGAGACACGGCCCAGACUCCUACGGGAGGCAGCAGUAGGGAAUCUUCCGCAAUGGACGAACGUCUGACGGAGCAACGCCGCGUGAGUGAGGAAGGCCUUCGGGUCGUAAAACUCUGUUGUU
rnacentral:rRNA from 1 species